rnacentral:rRNA from 1 species
ACGUAGGGUGCAAGCGUUGUCCGGAAUUAUUGGGCGUAAAGAGCUCGUAGGCGGUUUGUCGCGUCUGCUGUGAAAUCCCGAGGCUCAACCUCGGGCUUGCAGUGGGUACGGGCAGACUAGAGUGCGGUAGGGGAGAUUGGAAUUCCUGGUGUAGCGGUGGAAUGCGCAGAUAUCAGGAGGAACACCGAUGGCGAAGGCAGAUCUCUGGGCCGUAACUGACGCUGAGGAGCGAAAGCAUGGGGAGCGAACAG